rnacentral:rRNA from 1 species
GUACGGCGAGUGAACCGGGAUGAGCUCAAAUUUGAAAUCUGGCGUCUUUCAGGCGUCCGAGUUGUAAUCUAUAGAGGCGUUUUCCGCGCCGGACCGCGUCCAAGUCUCUUGGAAUAGAGUAUCAAAGAGGGUGACAAUCCCGUACUUGACGCGACAACCGGUGCUCUGUGAUACGUUCUCAACGAGUCGAGUUGUUUGGGAAUGCAGCUCUAAAUGGGUGGUAAAUUCCAUCUAAGGCUAAAUAUUGGCGAGAGACCGAUAGCGAACAAGUACCGUGAGGGAAAGAUGAAAAGCACUUUGGAAAGAGAGUUAAACAGCACGUGAAAUUGUUAAAAGGGAAACGAUUGAAGUCAGUCGUGUGAAAGGUAUUCAGCCGUCUCUGGCGGUGUAUUUGCCUUUCACGGGUCAACAUCAGUUUAGUCCGGUAGAAAAAGGCUGGAGGAAGGUGGCACCCUCGGGUGUGUUAUAGCCUCCUGUCAUAUGUGCCGGAUUAGACUGAGGAACGCAGCUUGCAGCAAUGCCGGGGUUCGCCCACGUACAAGCUUAGGAUGUUGACAUAAUGGCUUUAAACGACCCGUCUUGAAACACGGACC